rnacentral:ncRNA from 13 species
UUUUUUUUUUUUUUUUUUUUUUUUUUUUUUUGCCCCCCGGCCCCGGGGAGGUUCUUCGAAAAAAAGAGGCAAAGAGUCUCUGAGAAG